UCCAGACUCCUACGGGAGGCAGCAGUGGGGAAUAUUGGGCAAUGGAGGAAACUCUGACCCAGCAACGCCGCGUGAAGGAUGAAGGUUUUCGGAUUGUAAACUUCUGUCGCGAGGGACGAAGAAUGACGGUACCUCGUAAGAAAGCCCCGGCUAACUACGUGCCAGCAGCCGCGGUAAUACGUAGGGGGCAAGCGUUAUCCGGAUUUACUGGGUGUAAAGGGAGCGUAGACGGAAAGGCAAGUCAGAAGUGAAAACCCAAGGCUCAACCAUGGGACUGCUUUUGAAACUGUCAAACUAGAGUACGGGAGAGGUAAGAGGAAUUCCUAGUGUAGCGGUGAAAUGCGUAGAUAUUAGGAGGAACACCAGUGGCGAAGGCGUCUUACUGGACCGAAACUGACGUUGAGGCUCGAAAGCGUGGGGAGCAAACAGGAUUAGAUACCCGUGUAC
rnacentral:rRNA from 1 species